CAGCUGAAGCCAUCGAUAUUCUUAAACUCAUGUCUUCCACAUUCUUAGUUGCUUUAUGUCAAGCAAUUGACUUGAGGCAUUUGGAGGAAAACUUGAAGAGCGUGGUGAAAAGCACAGUUAGCCAAGUAGCAAAAAAAGUGUUGACUACCUCUUCCAAUGGCGCACUUCAUCCAUCAAGAUUUUGUGAGAAAGAUUUACUCAAAGUUGUUGACAGAGAAUACACUUUUGCAUACAUAGAUGAUCCAUGCAGUGCUACCUACCCUCUUAUGCAGAAGUUAAGGCAAAUUCUUGUCGAGCAUGCACUUAAAAAUGGUGAUAGCGAAACGAACGAAAACACCUCAAUCUUCCAAAAGAUUGGUGCUUUCGAAGAGGAGUUGAAGGCAAUCUUACCAAAGGAGGUAGAAAACGUAAGGUUGGCAUAUGAGAAUGGAAAUUCCGAAAUUGAAAAUCAAAUCAAGGAUUGCAGGUCUUACCCAUUAUACAAAUUUGUGAGAGAGGAGUUGGGAACAAGAUUGCUAACCGGCGAAAAGGUAAUUUCUCCAGGAGAAGAGUGCGAGAAGGUAUUCACUGCUUUAAGUCAAGGAAAGAUGAUCGAUUCGAUCUUCGAAUGCUUGAAGGAGUGGAAUGGAGCACCCCUUCCUAUUUGCUAAUAGCUUAUAAUAAUUCUUAUGCUAUUCGUUUAGUUGGACGAUGCAUUUCUCAAAUUAUUGAAAGAUAUAUGAUUACAUUUUGUAUUGGCUAUUGUUUUUCAUUCACAUUUUAAAUCAAUUUUAAACACAAUUGAUAUCCACAUGUAACUUUUAUUUUUUGAAUAAUCACCAUAUACAUUAUAUUUUGACAUAAUUUAUGAGUAUUGCACAAAAUUAUUAUGGAAUGGAAGUGUAUUAGUAAGACUUCGUGCACUUAAUACUAUAUAAUGCCUCAGUGAUAUUAUAUAUAUUUUGGUAAUGUAUAUCAGUAAGGUAAUUAAAAAAUGGCAAGCAGUAUAAAUUAAUCUAUCCUCCAGUUGUAUUAAUUAAAACCUAUUUUGAUAAUUUAUAUCGAGUUAUAAUUGAUUUAAUUGCGACACACCUUUCUCUAAAUCUUGCUUUACUUCUCAAUUUUCAUAGUCAAUCGAGUUAGACUCUCUUUAUACAAUAAUACCUUUGAAUACCGUUCACAUGCAUUAAUUGUCAAACACAUGUAUACUUUUUUCAUAUGUUGAUUUUACAAAAAAUAAAGGAUUAUUAGAGGCUACACGGUUGAUUAACUUUAAGGAUUUAAUUAAUAUAAUUAUAUAAAUCAUUUUACAUAUAUAAGAUUUAUCUUCAAACGAAACAAGAAGGUAAAAUGAUAUAGUUACGAAAGUUCGAAAAUACAAUUAUUAGUUCAUCAAAUUGAUAAUACUUUUAACUUUUUUUCUUUACUACAACUCCUAUAAGGUUUAGAAAAUAUAAAUUGAUAUUUUCUUCAAAAACAAAUAUAUACAAAUUUGUCUUAGCAUAUCUAUCGAUAACAUACUUACUAAUGUAAUAAUUUGGAUAGACAAAUAACAUUUUACUAUAUUUUAAAACAUUUUCAACAGUUUUAUCAUUUUAAAGUCAUUCUUACGUUUAAUAAUUUUCAUAGUAUCGGUUUGACAGUUAUUUUUAAUUUUUCUCAAAUUUCAUUUUAUAUGACUUUUUUUUUGUUGUUAUAUGUAAAGAGGAAAAGUGUAGACACCCUUGAAGUUCAUUUAUUUUUAUUUUUAAACUAAAUAAUUUGGGACUCUUACGUAUAUAUAUUUAUAAUAUAUAUGUUAGUUGAGAUAGAAUCACUCUCUCAUUUUCUAAAAAUUUAGGGUUAGGUUAGUAAGAAAUCUCCAACUAACAUAUUAAGUUUAAUCAAAUUAUAUUAACAACAAAAGUAAAUGAGUCAAAAGGUUCACCAACCCCAUCUUUCACACUCUCAUAUCUAUAUUUGAAAGCAAUGAUAUAUAAAUGGAUGAAUUAAAGUUAUGUGAGUGUUCAACGAAGGUGUGCUCCAAUAUCAUAACUCCACAUUUAUAAUAUACUUAAUUCAUCCUUUUAUUUAACUAACAUAACAAUAAUUAUAUAUAUAUAUAUAUGCACCAUAUUGGACUUCCAAAUUCUUUAACUAAACAAGACAUAAUUUUCACAUCAAAUAAUAUCACACAUGGAAAUAACAUACUGUCAAAUAAACUAUAAAUAAAAGUUAUUACCAAGGCAAUUUGGGGUUGGAAUGCCUUCUUGACAUGAUUAAUCUUCUACAAACUUAAGUGCCUACUAGAAGUCUAUUAGCGACUAUCAAUGUCUAUUUUGCUAUAUUUAUAAUUUUUAAUCAAAUACUAGCUAUUUUAUGAUAUUUAAAAGUUAUAUAUUUAUUGUAUAUUUUGGCUUACUACCCAACUUCUUGUUUUCUAAAAUGUUGGAAGAAUUAUUUUAAGUCAUUGUUAUGAAUCUCUGACAUAGAUAUACCAUUGUAAAAUUGGUUUUCACAUGUUUGGUUCACAAUUAUUCAAAGCGAUUUGUAUAUAUUAAAAGGUGGUGGUGAAUUACUAUAUUUAAUUUGUGAUUUUAGAAUUACAUAUACAUCACUAAUUUGUUUUUUUAAAAAAGAAAAUCAGUACAUAGGUGAUGCAAAUUUUAAUUUUAAAGAAACAAAUUAAAAAGGUGGACUAUAAUUUUGUGGGUAAUUGAUUGCCUCAAUCACCCUAAUAAUAAAAGUACAUUUUAAUUAUGGAUCAAACAUAGUUCCAAAUUAUUUUUAGAUUUUUGUAAAAUGAUGUUAAUAUUUGUCAAACAUUAAAUCUUUAAAAACAAUUAUAAAGUCAUUUUAAUCAAAGAAGAAUGAGUAAUAUAUCAAUUAAACGUACCAAAUGCCACAGAAAAAAGAAAAAAAACUUGAGAGAAACUUUAUUCCUCUAUUCUAUAAUUUAAAAAAAAUCACAUGGAGUAAAAGAAAGUGAGAGGGAGGUGGCCAGCAAACGAAAAAAUAGUACUGGCGAUCAACUUUGACCAUAUAUAUAUAUAUAUAUAUAUACACAUAAAAUAGGAUUAUGAUUAUUCUUAUCAUUACUACUUUUGACCUUUCUUUUUCCACACCAAACAAACUCCCACCUCUCUCUUUCCUCAAUCCUUCCUAAGUCCUCUACCUAACACACACCUCUUCUCUAUUUAACCACAAAGCUUCUCAUUUUCUCUUCACAAAAUCAACUCAGCAACCAUUUCAAACCCAAUUCAAAUUUAUCCACUCUCAUUAUUCCUUACUCUCUGUGCAGUACACUCUUAAAUUAAAAUGGCCCAAAAGGUUAAUGCUAACCAAAAUGGUUCAAUGGAAAGCUUGUGCAGCAGCCAUCAGGAUCCACUCAACUGGGGUUUGGCCGCUGAUUCCAUGAAGGGAAGCCAUCUGGAUGAGGUCAAGCGGAUGGUGGAAGAGUAUCGAAGGCCUUUGGUUAAGCUUGGAGGACAAACUCUCACCAUUUCUCAGGUUGCUGCCAUUGCCACUCGUGAUAAUGAUGUCCUUGUAGAAUUGGCCGAGUCUGCAAGGGCCGGUGUCAAAGCUAGCAGCGAUUGGGUGAUGGAGAGCAUGGGUAAAGGCACUGAUAGUUAUGGUGUUACUACUGGCUUUGGUGCUACUUCCCAUAGAAGAACCAAUCAAGGUGGAGCUCUUCAAAAGGAGUUGAUUCGGUUUUUGAAUUCUGGCAUCUUUGGAAAUGGAAGUGAAUCAAAUCACACUUUGCCUCACUCUGCAACAAGAGCAGCUAUGUUGGUGAGAAUCAACACUCUUCUUCAAGGGUAUUCUGGCAUUCGAUUCGAGAUUUUGGAAGCCAUUACUAAUCUCUUGAACCACAACGUCACUCCAUGUUUGCCACUUAGAGGAACAAUUACUGCUUCGGGAGAUUUGGUUCCUUUGUCUUAUAUUGCAGGGUUGCUUACCGGUCGUCACAAUUCAAAAGCUAUUGGACCUAAUGGAGAAAUCCUUGAUGCAAAGGUUGCUUUUGAACAAGCUGGUAUUGAUUCUGGGUUCUUUGAGUUGCAGCCUAAGGAAGGUCUUGCUCUUGUUAAUGGCACUGCUGUCGGUUCUGGGUUGGCUUCCAUUGUUCUCUUUGAGGCAAAUAUUUUAGUUGUUUUGUCUGAAAUUUUAUCUGCAAUAUUUGCUGAGGUGAUGCAAGGAAAGCCUGAAUUCACCGAUCAUUUGACCCAUAAGUUGAAGCACCACCCUGGUCAAAUUGAAGCAGCUGCAAUCAUGGAGCACAUUUUAGAUGGAAGCUCCUACAUGAAAACGGCAAAGAAAUUACAUGAAAUGGAUCCUCUCCAAAAGCCCAAACAAGAUCGUUACGCUCUUAGAACUUCUCCUCAAUGGUUGGGUCCUUUGAUUGAAGUGAUUCGUUUCUCCACCAAGUCAAUUGAGCGGGAAAUUAAUUCAGUCAAUGACAACCCUUUGAUUGAUGUUUCAAGAAACAAGGCGCUACAUGGAGGUAACUUCCAAGGAACGCCGAUUGGAGUUUCUAUGGACAACACUCGUUUGGCCGUUGCAUCCAUUGGAAAGCUAAUGUUUGCUCAAUUUUCAGAAUUAGUCAAUGAUUUUUACAAUAACGGUUUGCCUUCUAACCUUUCUGCAAGUCGAAAUCCAAGCUUGGAUUAUGGCUUUAAAGGUGCUGAAAUUGCCAUGGCUUCUUAUUGCUCUGAGCUUCAAUAUCUUGCAAAUCCUGUCACAAGUCACGUCCAAAGCGCCGAGCAACACAACCAAGAUGUUAACUCUCUUGGUUUAAUUUCCUCAAGGAAAACAGCUGAAGCCAUCGAUAUUCUUAAACUCAUGUCUUCCACAUUCUUAGUUGCUUUAUGUCAAGCAAUUGACUUGAGGCAUUUGGAGGAAAACUUGAAGAGCGCGGUGAAAAGCACAGUUAGCCAAGUAGCAAAAAAAGUGUUGACUACCUCUUCCAAUGGCGCACUUCAUCCUUCAAGAUUUUGUGAGAAAGAUUUACUCAAAGUUGUUGAUAGGGAAUACACAUUUGCAUACAUUGAUGAUCCAUGCAGUGCCACCUACCCACUUAUGCAAAAGCUAAGGCAAAUUAUUGUUGAGCAUGCACUUAAAAACGGCGAUAACGAAACAAACGAAAACACCUCAAUCUUCCAAAAGAUUGGUGCUUUCGAAGAGGAGUUGAAGGCAAUCUUACCAAAGGAGGUUGAAAACGUAAGGUUAGCAUAUGAGAAUGGAAACUCUAAAAUUGAAAAUCAAAUCAAGGAUUGUAGAUCUUACCCAUUAUACAAAUUUGUGAGAGAGGAGUUGGGAACAAGAUUGCUAACUGGCGAAAGGGUAAUUUCUCCCGGAGAAGAGUGCGAGAAGGUAUUCACCGCUUUAAGUCAAGGAAAGAUGAUUGACUCUAUCUUCGAAUGCUUGAAAGAGUGGGAUGGAACACCAAUUCCUAUUUGUUAAUCCUUGCAUGGAUAUUCGUUGAAUUCGACCAUAGAUUGUUGAAAAAUAUGAUAGCCUUAAUUUGUAUUUGCAAUUUCUUUUUAUUUUCGUAAUUAUUUUUAAUAAUAAUUGAUACCAUUUAAUUCUUCUUUAGUACUUCAAUUUGUUCAUUAAUUUCAUUUAUACUCCAAUCUAAUUAAUUAACAUCGUUGUUGGGAGUAUUAAUUUAAUUUGUGAAUUAUGGUUCCAUUAUUUGACUCUAAUAUGCACACAUCCUUGAAUUUGGAGAGAGUUUUAGUCUCCUAAAUAAUCAAUCCUUCUCAAAGUUGUCAAUAGGAAGAAAGAAAAAGAGUAUAUAUUAAAAUGUAUCAAAGUUAUGACUUAUGUGUGAGUGAUUUAAUAGAAUACUAAAUAUAUAAAUAAAUAAUUUUAAAAUCGUUAAAAUCACUUUUGUAUAAAUUUAAUAUUUUUUUUUUAAAAAAAUUACUACUUGAACUAUCACUUUUACAAAUAUACCUUUGAUUAUAUUGCAUGUUUAUAUGUUUACAAAAAUAAUUUAUUUUUUAAAGUGAAUUUGUGUGGAUGCUAAAAUUAAUUUGAAAUAUGUUAAAAUCACUUUUAAAUAUGUUUUAAUCAUUUAUAAAAACUGAUUUUAGCUAAACCACUCCCCCACCGUGUAUUAAAUAAUAAUAAUAAAAAGAUUAGGUUCAUAUCAUUUUAGUUUUUCAUAUAAUACGGUAGGAAAUUUAUUCAAAAUUUUAGUCUCUCAUGUGGCCAACAAAUUUUAAAUUUAUUCUUUCAAAAGUUAAUUUUUAUUUAAAUAGAAUAAAAAAAUACUAAUUUUCAUUAAAAAAAAAUAUAGGAUUAUAUUUUAAAAUUUUAGAGUAAAAAUGUUAUCAUUAACAUUUUUUUAAAUAAUAAAUCCUAAAAUAAUGAAAAAGGUAACAAAACUACUAAAAAUAUUUAUAAAUAUAACAAAAACGUAACUCAUAAAAAAAAGAUAGUAACGAAAGACAACACUAAACAUUUAUGAAUAUCUAUCAUCACAAUAUUAUGAUUCAUUUUACUAUAUUUAAAAACAAUAUUCCUUAAACUAUUAUUGAAGUUAAUUGAUGAUACAUAAACCAAAAUUAAACAAACUUGGAUUAAUGUACCGCUUCUUAAGAGAUUAUAACCUUUUUGUUUUGGAAUCAAAUUGGAAGACAAUAAUCACUUGCUUGGUAAAUAUGGCUCCAACAAACUAAAUAACUUGGCAUCAAGUUGGUUUCGAACAAAAUGAUCACACUCAUUUAAUAUAAUAUCUUCAUGAACGUCAUGUAUAUUUAGGCCAUCCUUAAUCGUACUUACACUGUAAUCUGUGAUCUCAUUAAUAAUCUUAUGUCUUUCUUCGGAUUUCUUCUUCUUUUUUGAUAUAUAAAUGAAGAACAUGAAGAAAUGGACGUGUGUGUGUGUGUGUAUGAAAGGAAAUGAGUAGCAAUUAGAAGAGGUUGGGGAAAGCCAAAGAGACGUAUGGAAAAAAUGAAUAUACAUUAAACCAAUAAUCCAUUUUCGGCCUAUGCUAUAUAUAUUUCAUUUUCUUUUAAAGUUUUAAUUUGUUUCCAUUUUCCAAUAACUUCAUCUCAUUAUAUUUUUUAUUUUUUCUUCUUUGAAAAUCAUAGAAAUAAAAAAAAAAAUCAUUUGAUUUAAAUGCUAUUUUGUAAUAAUUUUUUUACGAUCAUCUAUUCAUAGUUGGAUAUGCAUGGCGUGGGAUAAUAUUUAGAUUGUUACAUUGAAUUAUUUUCAUGAAAUCAGUUUGAGGGUUAGGUUAAUAAAAAAAAUCUCCAACCAACAUAUAUCUUUAAUCAAACUAUAGUAUAACAACAAAAAUUAAAUUGGGAAUGCAAAUGAAUGGGUUAAAGUUCACCAACCCCAUCUUUCACACUCGUAUAUAUUUUUAAGUAAUGAUAUAUAUUUUAGUUUAAUAUGUAAUGGGUUGAAUUAAUUAAAGUUUGGACUUUCAACAAAUUCUUUAACUAAACGAAACAUAAUUUUCACACCAAAUAAUAUCACACAUGGAAAUAAUAUACUGACAAAUAAAUUUAUAGAUAAAAGUGAUUACCAAUAAUUUGGGGUUGGAAUAAUGACUUCUUGACCUAAUUAAAUCUUCUACUUGCAUGAAAAAAUAUAAAAAUAAUUGAUGAUUUAGAAAAUUAUUUCAAAUAAUAAAACACUUAAAAAUAAUUAUAUAUGUAAUAAAAGUUUAGAAUCUAUAUUAAUAAUAAAUAUCGAUAGAAUUUGAUAAACUUCUAUUAAAUGUCUAUUAUCGUUAGAAUGUGUAUUGUUGAUAAAGUUUAAAAUUUUGUUAUAUUUUAUAAUUAUCGAUUUAUUUUAAUGGUGUGCAUAUUUUAAUUUUUUAAAAACAAAUUAAAAAGUUGGACAGUAAUUUUGUGGGUUUGAUUGCCUUCAAUCACCCUGAUAAUAAAAGUACAUUUUAAUUAUGGGUCAAACAUAGCUCUAAUUUGUUUUAGAUUUUUGUAAAAUGAUGUUAAUAUUUAUCAAACAUUAAAUCUAUAAAAACAAUUAUAAAAGACAUUUUAAUCAAAGAAGAAUGAGUGCAAUAUAUCAAUCAAACGUACCAAAUGCCACAGAAAAAAAAAAUCUUGAGAGAAAUUUUAUUCCUCUAUUCUAUAAUUUAAAAAAACCACAUGGAGUAAAAGAAAGUGAGAGGGAGGUGGCCAGCAAACAAAAAAAUAGUACUGGCGAUCAACUUUGACCAUAUGACCAUAUGACCAUAUGUAUAUAUAUACAUAAAAUAGCACUAUGAUUAUUCUUAUCAUUACUACUUUUGACCUUUCUUUCUCCACACCAAACAAACUCCCACCUCUCUCUUUCCUCAAUCCUUCCUAAGUCCUUUACCUAACACACACCUCUUCUCUAUUUAACCACAAAGCUUCUCAUUUUCUCCUCACAAAAUCAACUCAGCAACCAUUUCAAACCCAAUUCAAAUUUAUCCUCUCUCAUUAUUCCUUACUCUCUGUGCAGUACACUCUUAAAUUAAAAUGGCCCAAAAGGUUAAUGCUAACCAAAAUGGUUCAAUGGAAAGCUUUUGCAGCAGCCAUCAGGAUCCACUCAACUGGGGUUUGGCCGCUGAUUCCAUGAAGGGAAGCCAUCUGGAUGAGGUCAAGCGGAUGGUGGAAGAGUAUCGAAGGCCUUUGGUUAAGCUUGGAGGACAAACUCUCACCAUUUCUCAGGUUGCUGCCAUUGCCACUCGUGAUAAUGAUGUCCUUGUAGAAUUGGCCGAGUCUGCAAGGGCCGGUGUCAAAGCUAGCAGCGAUUGGGUGAUGGAGAGUAUGGGUAAAGGUACUGAUAGCUAUGGUGUCACCACUGGGUUUGGUGCCACUUCCCAUAGAAGAACCAAUCAAGGUGGAGCUCUUCAAAAGGAGUUGAUUCGGUUUUUGAAUGCUGGCAUCUUUGGAAAUGGAAGUGAAUCGAAUCACACUUUGCCUCACUCCGCAACACGAGCAGCCAUGUUGGUGAGAAUCAACACUCUUCUUCAAGGGUAUUCUGGCAUUCGAUUCGAGAUUUUGGAAGCCAUUACUAAUCUCUUGAACCACAACGUCACUCCAUGUUUGCCACUUAGAGGAACAAUUACUGCUUCUGGAGAUUUGGUUCCUUUGUCUUAUAUUGCAGGGUUGCUUACCGGUCGUCACAAUUCAAAAGCUAUUGGACCUAAUGGAGAAAUCCUUGAUGCAAAGGUUGCUUUUGAACAAGCUGGUAUUGAUUCUGGGUUCUUUGAGUUGCAGCCGAAGGAAGGUCUUGCUCUUGUUAAUGGCACUGCCGUUGGUUCUGGGUUGGCUUCCAUUGUUCUCUUUGAGGCAAAUAUUUUAGCUGUUUUGUCUGAAAUUUUAUCUGCAAUAUUUGCUGAGGUGAUGCAAGGAAAGCCUGAAUUCACCGAUCAUUUGACCCAUAAGUUGAAGCACCACCCUGGUCAAAUUGAAGCAGCUGCAAUCAUGGAGCACAUUUUAGAUGGAAGCUCCUACAUGAAAACGGCAAAGAAAUUGCAUGAAAUGGAUCCUCUCCAAAAGCCCAAACAAGAUCGUUAUGCUCUUAGAACUUCUCCUCAAUGGUUGGGUCCCUUGAUUGAAGUGAUUCGUUUCUCCACCAAGUCAAUUGAGCGAGAAAUUAAUUCAGUCAAUGACAACCCUUUGAUUGAUGUUUCAAGAAACAAGGCGCUACAUGGAGGUAACUUCCAAGGAACACCGAUUGGAGUUUCUAUGGACAACACUCGUUUGGCCGUUGCAUCCAUUGGAAAGCUAAUGUUUGCUCAAUUUUCAGAAUUAGUCAAUGAUUUUUACAAUAACGGUUUGCCUUCUAACCUUUCUGCAAGUAGAAAUCCAAGUUUGGAUUAUGGCUUUAAAGGUGCUGAAAUUGCCAUGGCUUCAUACUGUUCUGAGCUUCAAUAUCUUGCAAAUCCAGUGACAAGUCACGUCCAAAGCGCCGAGCAACACAACCAAGAUGUUAACUCUCUUGGUUUAAUUUCCUCAAGGAAAACAGCUGAAGCCAUUGAUAUUCUUAAACUCAUGUCUUCCACAUUCUUAGUUGCUUUAUGUCAAGCAAUUGACUUGAGGCAUUUGGAGGAAAACUUGAAGAGCGUGGUGAAAAGCACAGUUAGCCAAGUAGCAAAAAAAGUGUUGACUACCUCUUCCAAUGGCGCACUUCAUCCUUCAAGAUUUUGUGAGAAAGAUUUACUCAAAGUUGUUGACAGGGAAUACACAUUUGCAUACAUUGACGAUCCAUGCAGUGCCACCUACCCACUUAUGCAAAAGCUAAGGCAAAUUAUUGUUGAGCAUGCACUUAAAAACAGCGAUAACGAAACAAACGAAAACACCUCAAUCUUCCAAAAGAUUGGUGCUUGCGAAGAGGAGUUGAAGGCAAUCUUACCAAAGGAGGUUGAAAAC
rnacentral:lncRNA from 1 species